AAAAAGAUAUUCAAGAGUCCCUGAUACAUGCGAAGAUGAGCAACAAACUACAGUAGCUGGGAUGCAGCUGCGAAGGAAAAUUCCCACGCCUCCGCCACCCUGAUCCGUACGAUCAUUACGGAAUAGUUGGUAGCCAGGAAGAGAGCAACUAGUGGACGGGAUGGAUGGCUUAAGCCAGGUUUCAGAAACAAGUAUGCAAUCAGCAGUGCUAGUGCUAAAAGAUGUGAGAAGAUCAGAAUAGUGAGCAAGUAUGCUCUGCGCAUUGAUAUGCACCAAGGAUAAGAAAUUCCGCUGAUUCAUAAAAACAUGAGAUAAUUUGUCUGCUAGUGUUUCGGAAUCAGAAAUAGAGGUGUUGCAACUAUUUUCCGCACUGUCGAAUUCAUCCGAAGAACAAGUGAAAUAAUCAUCUUCAAUCAUAUUUUCUCUCAAAAUACUUUAAAAAAAGAUAUAUAUUAAAAAAAUAAUAAUUUAUAAAUAUGAAAUAAGACCCAAAUAAAAUACAAAAAAUAAAAUAAAAAAUAAUAAAGUAUAAAAAACGAAUACUGAAAUACUGAAACUAAAAUACACAGAUACUGACUGAAAUACAGUAUCCUCACCCAUGGGUUGACUGCAAUAAAUACAGUUAAAAACAAAAAAGGAAGAGAAAAAAAAAACAAUUAGUACACUAAAUUAUCAUACGCACAUGUUCCAUGUGGAGUAUCCGAACGCAAUUGUUUUGACAUCAGUGGCAGCAUUGACAUUUGACGUAUGAGAUAUAAUAACAAUAUUAACAAUAGAUAGCAGGUAGUAAUUAUAAAUUGAGUUUUUUAAAUAAUUAAUUGAUAGUUACAUACGUUAAAAAGUGAAAAAAGAAAGAAAAGAUGAAUAUACCCACAUGGAACCGAUAACUAUACAAAUUACAAAAACAACUCAGAGGUCGAUGUUAUCUUUGCUCGUGAUUUAUCAGGCAGCAGAACAAUUAUAACACCAUCUGCUGACCAACACUUUCUCAGUCCAAAGUGAUUGCGAGCCGAUGCGAAUAUGUCCUGACGAGCUUUGGUGAGGAACUCAGAAAGCUUAAUCUUAGUCCCCUUCAAUGAGGUCUUCGAUCUCCAAACCUUGGCACGAAGCUGUACAGAAGAAAAACGCACUAGAAUUGGCCGUGCAUUGUCUUUCUUGACACCCAACCUAUGACAGGCUUCGAAAGAAUCUAGGUUUACACCCGUCAGCUUCAUACGAUCGACUAGCACCUCGAGAGUCUUCUUCAUUAUAUCCUCACUAGGAUCCUCCUUGAUUCCAUGCAGAAGUAGAACUUUUCUGCGUGAGUGUGUCUCCACGCGAUCCAGGCCAAGUAUUAAGAGUUCUACUUGGGCCUUCAACACACUCAAAGCCUUCCACACCAAUGUCUUAAAUGUGAAGAACUCCGAACUAAGUGUCUUAACGGUGGGGUUGGAUGGUGCAGUAGCAGGGAUGUGCCUUUCGAACUCUUCCAUCCGGCUAUUUAUUGAAGAAGAGAGCUCCUCCAUGGUCUUCAAAACUAGUUCAACUGAUGAAUCCAUUUUGUUUAGUGAGUGAGAGUGUGAAGUAAUAGUCAACCAAGGCAAGGAAUAGUUAUUAUAGCAUAAAUAUAUAAAAUUAACACUAAAAAUUAGAAUAUAAUUGAGGAGCAGUUAAAAACACGUCUUGACAGUUUCAAUUCUACCCGCC